AGACAACAAAAUGUUUAAUAUUAUUUUGUCACCUUAGGUCGAUCGGUAUCUCACGUUUUUAAUUUAUUAAGAAUUUCAUUUCCUAAGUUUUUCUAGGUCACACCCAUUAUUUUUCCUGGGCCAUUAGCUCAGGUGGUUAGAGCGCACCCCUGAUAAGGGUGAGGUCCCUGGUUCAAGUCCAGGAUGGCCCAUAUCUCUAUGUUGGGGGUAUAGCUCAGUUGGUAGAGCGCCUGCUUUGCAAGCAGGAUGUCAGCGGUUCGAGUCCGCUUACCUCCACUGAUUACCACCUCUUCCAUAAUUGGUAGAAGGGAAAUGUUUUGAGUUGUGAUCAAAUUCUGAAAGAAUCUAGCUUCCUAAUGAAAUCAUUAAGAUGCUGGACUCAUUGAAUUAAUUUCAUUGUUUUCAGAGAACCUUGACAACUGCAUAGAUUAUUUUUAAAGACAAUAAGCAUCUUUAAUGAUGCAGAUUUAUUAUUUGUGCGAAUGCAUUAAUAACAAUUCUAUUAAGCUGAUGCUUCAAUUUUGAAGUUAUU
rnacentral:tRNA from 1 species